AAAAUCUGCCCAUUAAACUCAUUUGCAGCAAGAUUUUGUUUCAAGGCCAUAAGCAGAUCGUAUUUAUGAUUAAGAUAAUUCUGAAACUGUCUUCUGCAAACAGAUCUUUGUAGGACAAGGCUGAGUGACAGACAACCAAUCCAAAGUCCCCUGUCACCAUUACAUUGCAGCACUGUGGGGACUUGGGUUCUGGACGUUCUGUGAGAGAUUUAAAACAAAAUGUUUCCACUAGCUUUCUCUCCCCCCCCAAAAUCAGGCUGAGCCUUGGAAGGAUGAGUCUAUGUUAGCAGCAGUAAGAACCACAUUCACUAUCACAGCCAGCAAUUUAUUUUUCUCAUAUUAAAUGAGCCUUUUGUUCCAGAGAAGGUAGAUCUCACUUACAUGCCUGUACAAAAGUGAAAUGCAAGCUCAAGCUGAAAGCAUCUAUACUGCAAAGUUCUUUGGAUUGUGGAAACAUACAACAUCUCUGGAGAAUCUGCUGACAACCGGUGGAAAACCACUCUUCUCAUAGUACAAAGUGGCAAUUAGUAUAGCUAGCCUAGGUACCUCAACAUCAUGCAUCCUCUCCAGCAACAUCAUACUAGCAAGUCCCUGCUCCAAACACAUCUGAUAGCAACGGGCUGGAUUUGUCAGAUCAUUUCCAUUAAAAGAAACGUGGUGGUGCAGCUAUUUCAGUGAUGGAUGCUGGCAAGACUUGUACCUUCACUACGGGGCUUCCUUCUGCUUGCUGGGGCUCUGCAGCGCAGAUAAGCACCAGGAAAGGAGUAAGGUCUGAUCACCAAAAAAAGUAACACUUUCUGCUAGAUAUUAACCGCAGAGCAAUGAAAUGUUCCCCAUCUGUUAUCCAGUUGUAACAGACCACCACAGCAUGCAGCAGCUUUAAAAAAAAAAAGAAAGAAAAAGAAAAAAAAAGGUGAGAGCUAAUUACAGUCACUGACAGCACGUUGUGAAGGAGAGGAGAUUCCCCUGGCACCUGGUGGCAAGGUGAUGCUGGUUGCAAGCCCUAAGCAUUCCUGAAGAUCUACUCAGAAAGAAAACAGCCAUCAGAGUGCUGCCCUUGGCCUCACUGGAAGCACAGAAAUGACCCGGGGUUGAAAAGGCCAGAAGUGUCUCUGGAGGCUCUUGGAGGCAGUGCGGGGAGUGUCGGCAGCACAGCGCUCUGUGCCCCAGUGCUCCAUGGAAGCCAACAGAUGAAAGAUCUGAAGGAGAAAGAAGACAAUCUCUCAAUUUUAGAAGGAAACAUAAGAAGCUGCAGAAGUACCAAAGGAGGACUUCUCCCCAGAGCAUGUUGCUGUUACUUAACAAGUCUCCCAUGCCACACUGAUGCUGGGGGCACCAUGGUUCCUGCACGUUGUCACCAAGAUGGAGCUAGGGGACCCACUGUGACACUUCCUGAUAAGACAAUAAUGAGAGGUUUAGGCAGUCUGUUCACAGAGGCUGCUGUCUGGCUCCUGAGGCACAGAAAGCAUUGAAAGGGAGCAGUCGGUAUAGCACACCUUUUCCUCAUUUAUCUGAAUACUGAGCCAGAAGUUGUACUGCCCUGGAGAAAAGGCAAUUCAAAUUGCUUUCUUUAUGAUAUCUGAAGCCAUCUGUGGCUUAGGCUGUUCCGAAUACAGCCUUUGGACAUCCUGCAUCUGUCCGUACAAAGCAAAUCCAACCACGCCUGGGAGCUGGGGCAUGACUGCCCGUACUGCUGAGCUGCUAAUACUCCUCCCCAGCGUGCUUUUGGCUGUCUUGCUCUGUCACAUGAUUCCCAACAAUGUUGUGCCAACAAAACCUUCCAGCACUUGCUCCUGGGAGGAGGUGUGUAUGUGGUGGCCCCUGUUUGGUGGCUGAGGAGUCUCAUAGCGUUAACACGCCCACUCCUUGCCAGCUGGCCUACAUGCAUGACAGCACUCCUGGGCACGUUUAACUGCUGCUACAGAUGCCAUUUCAAACAUUUAAUGUUUUCAUUCCACGUGUAGGUGAAGAUCCAGGAUUGCUUCAGGAGUUCCAAACACAGCAUCAAAUGGGAGAAACGUUUGCUUCUAAGUUUUUUGCCUUUAAUAAACUCUCACUUUAUUCAUUUGAAGUGUUGUUCCUCUCAGGAAGAGUUGCCUUCACUAAUUGCCAGACAUCUGAGAGUAACUUGGAAUAGCAUGUUUAAAGUAACAUAUGUGACUCCUCAUUUUUUCUGCUUUCCACCACUUAAGCUAUACUCAUUUGUAAAGAUGCAUUUCUAGAGUUAAUUCAUUCAUAAUUCAAAGUGAAAAUCUUUUUCAUAUUCUUUCCAGCUGUAGACUUCCACCUCUGAAAUACAGCCCAUUCAUAUUUAAAAUAAGAAGUCUCCCUUCUCUACGUUUUGCCUUUGUGGAUGCAGUUUCUCAAAUCGAUUGCUAUUAUUUUUGUAUAUUUUUUCAAUUGACAUAAGAUCACACCUGCCUUAUUGAUCGAUACGAUACUUUACGCAGCAAAUUUACUUUGAAAUAGCUAACAAGCAAGGAAAUCCGGAUAUACAAGAGAUACUAAACGAAUGUUCUCUUUCUUUAUUACCUAUUCCUAUUUAUCUACUUCUUGGUUACUCUUUAUUUCACAUUUUUACACACACACAAAAAAAAAUAUAAAACAAACUAUGGGAUUUGCUGUGGCUUCGCUGUUUGUUUUGUUUGAUGGUAGUUUUUCUGAUAUUAUUAUUGUAAAUAGAGUCCAUUUUGAGUUACAUGUAUGUGAAGGAAAGAAUUUACCUACAUUUCAGCAACAUAAUUUAUUGUCCUGUUUUUUAUUAUAAUUUAUGAUGCAACUGUGGUUAAUGUUUUAGAUAGUGUCAACUGUAGACUUUCAAAAAUGGUUUCAUGAUCACCCUAUUAUCAUACUGACCUUGAAAUAAUAAGAUUUUUUUUAAAAAAACAAUCAUUUAAAGUCUUUUUAUGUGUAUUCUGGUUUCUGAAACAUUAGGGGUCACAUUUUUGAGAUUUUUCUUUCUAACCACACCAGGAACUUUCUCUAAUAAGCUACAUAAACAAAGCUGAGACACUCUGCUGAUUGAAUGAAGAAUCAUAAAGUGGUGCUUGAAGAGUAAAAAAGAACUAUCAUGGGAGUUGUGUUUAAAAUCAGAGAGGCUGGCUGCAUUGUCUUUCCCACAUUGUGAGCCUUAAUGCAGACUUCCAACUCAGAAACAUUCAGCAACUGAAGUUUUCUUGAUUUUCAGAGAUACUGAACAACAAAAGUUCUCCUUGACAACAUAUGUCUAAUGCAUCCAAAAAUAAAGCUAUUUUAAGUAGCUAAGCUGGGCACCAUAACCUUCAAGUGAAAGCCCGUUAGGAAAGUAUAAGUGCAGUGACUAAUAUUUCUUUUAAGGCAGGACUACAAAUGAAGUGAGUACAAGCGAUGUGAAUUCUCUCUUCUAAGAUUUUGUUUGCACUGUAAUUAAUAUUGAUUACUGGCAGUUAAAACAGUUCCAGAACUUCUUUUCAUGUCAAAUAAGGCUUCCUGUUAAAUCACAACUUGGGAUUUGCCAAAUUUAUUCUGUCC
ensembl:lncRNA